rnacentral:rRNA from 1 species
CCUACGGGAGGCAGCAGUGAGGAAUAUUGGUCAAUGGGCGGAAGCCUGAACCAGCCAAGUAGCGUGCAGGAUGACGGCCCUACGGGUUGUAAACUGCUUUUAUACGGGAAUAACGCGCCUUACGUGUAGGGCUUUGCAUGUACCGUAUGAAUAAGGACCGGCUAAUUCCGUGCCAGCAGCCGCGGUAAUACGGAAGGUCCGGGCGUUAUCCGGAUUUAUUGGGUUUAAAGGGAGCGUAGGCCGCAUGUCAAGCGUGCUGUGAAAUGUCCGGGCUCAACCCGGGCCUUGCAGCGCGAACUGGCUGUCUUGAGAUGUCGAGAGGUAUGCGGAAUGCGCAGUGUAGCGGUGAAAUGCUUAGAUAUUGCGCAGAACUCCGAUUGCGAAGGCAGCAUACCGGCGGCGAUCUGACGCUGAGGCACGAAAGCGUGGGUAUCGAACAGGAUUAGAUACCCUUGUAGUC